rnacentral:lncRNA from 1 species
UAGUAAUUUUUUUUAGUGUCAUUUUUUAAAAAUAAUUUUUCUACCAACCAAACUUAAUAAAAAUUAUUUUUCUCCACAAUCAUUUUUUUCAGAUAAAUAAUUCUAAGAUUUAUCAGAUUAUUCUGUAAUCCGAGAUACCCCUACCAAACGGACCAUAAAAUUAAAAAGAGAUUUCUGAACCUCCUUUUGGGACAUGAAGUA